UGUGUGUGUGUGUUUUAUCAUGACUGACGUGUUGUGGUGUUGUCCUCUGUCUGUCACAGAGAAGAGUCACACAGUUCUCAUCUCUGUUGCGUCUGUUGUUCUCGCUGCUGUUGUCCUCGCUGUGGUGGCCUUCGUCUUGUACUGGAGAUUUAGAGACAAACAGCCCUCGCCUCCUCCGAGUGAGAAGGAGGUGCUGCAGGAGUUGAACCCUCAGCCACGGUGACAUUCACUCGGACAAAUCGGACAAAUCAGCGCUCCGUCCUGACGCUUCAUGGGUUUUCUCGCUUUCAUAUGAAAUCCAAAUUUUUCUCCUUGUUAAAUCUUAUAAAUGAGACAUUAUUGUGUGGCAGAGUGGUUAGCACUGCUCUUGGCUCAGAUCUAGAAUGUGUUUUGUGUUCUCCACACCAGGAUCCUGACAGGUUUAACCCAGAGACACUGAAGGAUGGGUCAAAUGCAGAGGACACGUUUCUUUCCUUGGACUUUUCCUGGAGCGGUUGUUUAAAGGCCUCAUUCAUGUUAAAGUUAAACCUGGGGACAGGGCGGGGCAUCAGGUUCUUCAUGAUCUCUGCUCUUUUGCUUUGGGGCUGAUGUGAAAUGUGGAAGAGAUUUGGAAAGAUCGCAGCAAAUUUCAACCCGUGUGUCGUUCGUUUGUUUGUUUUUCGGUAUAAAACCAAAAUAAGAAAACCAAAAAAAACAACUAUUUUCUUCAUUAUUUUUCUCCAAAACUAAAAUGAGAAAAAAACAGAUAAUGAUUCAGUUUUUCAGUUUUCGAUUUUGUGUUUAAAUGAAAAAUGGAAAAAAUGGACAACGGACUUUUGCACCGCAUACGGACUGAACCAGGACUGAACAGUUUUCAGUUCUGGUCUGGUCCCAGUCCAGGUCUCUGUCCUGGUCUGGUUCCGGUCUCAGUCCUGGUCUGGUCCAGGUCUGGUUUCGGUCU